rnacentral:rRNA from 1 species
CAGUCGCCGCGGGAAUACGGAGGGGGCUAGCGUUGUUCGGAAUCACUGGGCGUAAAGGGAGCGUAGGCGGCGUGGUAAGUCAGAUGUGAAAUCCCGGGGCUCAACCCCGGAACUGCAUCCGAUACUGCCGUGCUAGAGGAUUGGAGAGGUAGCUGGAAUUCUUGGUGUAGCAGUGAAAUGCGUGGAGAUCAAGAGGAACACUCGUGGCGAAAGCGAGCUACUGGACAAUAUCUGACGCUGAGGCUCGAAGGCCAGGGUAGCGAAAGGGAUUAGAGACCCGGGUAGUCCCUGUCUCUUAUAC